UGGGGAAUAUUGCGCAAUGGGCGAAAGCCUGACGCAGCCACGCCGCGUGAGUGAUGAAGGCCUUCGGGUCGUAAAACUCUGUCGGGAGGGACGAAGGGGCAACCCUGACGGUACCUCGCAAGAAAGCACCGGCUAACUCUGUGCCAGCAGCCGCGGUAAUACAGAGGGUGCAAGCGUUGCUCGGAUUUAUUGGGCGUAAAGCGCACGCAGACGGUAUGGAAGGUCGGACGUGAAAUCCCUGGGCUCAACCUAGGAACUGCGUUCGAAACCACCAAACUAGAGUUCGGAAGAGGGAGGCGGAAUUCCUGGUGUAGAGGUGAAAUUCGUAGAUAUCAGGAGGAACACCAGCGGCGAAGGCGGCUUCCUGGUCCGAUACUGACGUUCAGGUGCGAAAGCGUGG
rnacentral:rRNA from 1 species